AUGUGCAUGCUGCAAAUAUGGGUACUGAUUUUAAUAUUUAUCUUAUUAUUAUUAUUCAGUGGGUUUUAUUUUCCAUCUUUUUUCAUUAAUUAUGGCAUUUAUUCCCUGUAAGUAUGUUUAUUCUGUGUAUAAUCUGCCUUGUUGUAAAGUACGUGCUGCAUUUCUGGUAUGAAAGGUGAUAUAUAAAUAAUGUUUAUUAUAUUAUUAUCCUUUAUCUUACAGUUCUACAGACUUUUUUUUGUAGAGCUUCUUCUUUCUAUUAUACAAUAGUAUACACAUAACAUCAAUAUAUACUAUACAAAACCAAGUAAAAAAAAGAAUAAAGUACUAGUACUUUUGCCUCAAAUUAAGUUGAAUAAACCCCUUUGUAAAACAGUUUCAAUAUAAUCAUAACCUUCAUAGUAUGUAUUGCAGGGUUGAUGUAAGACUGAAGCAAUUUUAGUAAGGGUACCUAUUUAAAGUGUGCUCAUAAAUGUCUUCUGCCAGGACCAAUAGUCAUCCCAUCCCCAAAAAACUGUACUAUUAUUGAUACAUAUUGAUUUUAGGGGUAUUCAUUUAAACAUAUUGUAAAACUUAAUUUUGCCAACAUCCUGCAAACACAACAGCAAGGUGAAUGCAUUUGCAUAAUGUUACCUGCUCCUGAGCAAAAAUGAAUGAAAUGAAAUGAAAAGCACACACUUCACACACCUGAGUGGAUCCCUGGCUAAUGGACUUGUACUAUAAAUCUAUCAUUAACGAUGGCUAAAUCUACAGUGCGUCCUGUAACACUACCAAUUAUAACCUCCACCGGCUGACUUAUAGUUUGCCAACAUUGUCAACACAUAGCGAUGUAUGUGUGUAAACUAGGCCAUCAUGGCUCUGAGGACUUAACCUUUGGCUGACGGUACUGUGGCCGUUUAAUCCUAUGUGGGAGAUCUGGCUUCAGCCCUUAUUUGUUACAAGUGCACCAUGUGAUUAAGUCUCGUUAUAUGGAGUGGCUGCACAUUUGAUUCUUUCAUUCAUCAAGCUAAUUUACAGUCAAAGAAAUGGCAGUUUUGUUGCAGCACCAUUUCCUCUGAGCUCAGAAACUCAGACAUGGUUGUCUUGCCAUUAGGUUUUGGACUUUAGUGUUUACAUAGUGUUGGUUACUAACUUAGAAGUCACAAUAACAUUGUUAAUGUC